rnacentral:rRNA from 1 species
AGAGUUUGAUUAUGGCUCAGGAUGAACGCUGGCGGCGUGCUUAACACAUGCAAGUCGAACGAAGCCAAAAGGAAGCUUGCUUUCUUGAAGCUUAGUGGCGGACGGGUGAGUAACGCGUGAGGAACCUGCCCUUCAGUGGGGAAUAACAGCCGGAAACGACUGCUAAUACCGCAUAAUGUCAUCGGACCGCAUGAUCUGGUGACCAAAGGAUUUAUUCGCUGAAGGAUGGCCUCGCGUCCGAUUAGGCAGUUGGUGAGGUAACGGCCCACCAAACCUACGAUCGGUAGCCGAACUGAGAGGUUGAUCGGCCACAUUGGGACUGAGACACGGCCCAGACUCCUACGGGAGGCAGCAGUGGGGAAUAUUGGGCAAUGGGCGAAAGCCUGAACCCCCAGCAACGCCGCGUGAAGGAAGACGGUCUUCGGAUUGUAAACUUCUUUGAUUGGGGAAGAACACAAUGACCUACCCAAAGAACAAGUCACGGCUAACUACGUGCCAGCAGCAGC